CUUGAGUAUCCUAUGGAUUAGCUCAGCUUUGAAAGACUUUUAGAUCAUAUAGUUGAAAAACAAGAGGUAGACCAUUGAAAAUCUUUACUGAGAGGUCAGAGGCCAUGAUCUAAGGGCUGGGAUGAAGGCUGAGUCAGUAAACUGCUUGUUGCAUGAGGAAGAGAACCAGUUUCAUUGUCUGGUACCUGUGUAAGAAGCCAGGUUUGGCAGUUUGUACUGGUAACCCCUUCUGCUCUGGAGGCAACAAGGGGAUUCAUGAGCCUUGAGGGCCAGAGGGUUGAGACACUCAAUGAAUUCCAAGUUCAGUGACAGACCUUGUGCCAAAACAUAAAGCAGAGAACAAUUGAAGAGACAUGUUGAUCUGUCUUCCUCAUUGUUUGCCAAUAUAAAUAUCACAUACAUACAUAAACACACACACACACUACAACA
rnacentral:lncRNA from 1 species